rnacentral:rRNA from 1 species
AUUGAACGCUGGCGGCAGGCUUAACACAUGCAAGUCGAACGAGUGGCGGACGGGUGAGUAAUGCUUGGGAAUCUGGCUUAUGGAGGGGGAUAACGACGGGUAACUGUCGCUAAUACCGCGUACCAUAGGAUGAGCCCAAGUGGGAUUAGGUAGUUGGUGGGGUAAUGGCCUACCAAUCCGACGAUCUCUAGCUGGUCUGAGAGGAUGACAAGCAACACCGUGACUGAGACACGGCCCGGACUCCUACGGGAGGCAGCAGUGGGGAAUAUUGCGCAAGGGGGGCAACCAGACGCAGCCAUGCCGCGUGAAGGAAGAAGGCCUUCGGGUUGUAGAGUUCUUUCGGUGACGAGGGGUUGAUCACAGAAGAAGCACCGGCUAAAUCCGUGCCAGCAGCCGCGGUAAUAC